rnacentral:rRNA from 1 species
GCUGGCGGCGUGCUCACACAUGCAAGUCGAACGAACCUUCGGGUUAGUGGCGGACGGGUGAGUAACGCUUUGCCCAUCUGCCCUCAGGAGGGGGAUAACGGUUGGAAACGACCGCUAAUACCCCAUAUGCCGAGAGGUGAAAAGAAAUUCGCCUGAGGAUGAGCUCGCGUCUGAUUAGCUAGUUGGUGUGGUAAUGGCGCACCAAGGCUUCGAUCAGUAGCUGGUCUGAGAGGAUGAUCAGCCACACUGGGACUGAGACACGGCCCAGACUCCUACGGGAGGCAGCAGUGG